rnacentral:rRNA from 1 species
UGGGGGAUAUUGCACAAUGGGCGAAAGCCUGUUGCAGCGACGCCGCGUGGGGGAUGAAGGCCUUCGGGUUGUAAACUUCUUUUGCUCUGAACAAGGCAUGCUAAUGGGUGUGUUGGGUGUAGGGGUUGAUUAGCGCCGGCUAACUACGUGCCAGCAGCCGCGGUAAUACGUAGGGCGCGAGCGUUGUCCGGAAUUAUUGGGCGUAAAGGGCUUGUAGGUGGCUGGUUGUGUCUGUCGUGAAAGCUCAUGGCUUAACUGUGGGUUUGCGGUGGGUACGGGCUGGCUUGAGUGCAGUAGGGGAGGCUGGAAUUCCUGGUGUAGCGGUGGAAUGCGCAGAUAUCAGGAGGAAUACCGGUGGCGAAGGCGGGUCUCUGGGCUGUUACUGACACUGAGGAGCGAAAGCAUGGGGAGCGAACAGG